CUAGCCGUAAACGAUGUAGACUUGGUGUUGGUGGGGUAAAAGCCAUCGGUGCCGAAGCAAACGCGAUAAGUCUACCGCCUGGGGACUACGGCCGCAAGGUUAAAACUCAAAGGAAUUGAC
rnacentral:rRNA from 1 species